CAAUAAGCGGAGGAAAAGAAACCAACAGGGAUUGCCCUAGUAACGGCGAGUGAAGCGGCAACAGCUCAAAUUUGAAAUCUGGCUUCGGCCCGAGUUGUAAUUUGCAGAGGAUGUUUAUGGUGCGGUACCUUCCGAGUUCCCUGGAACGGGACGCCACAGAGGGUGAGAGCCCCGUCUGGUUGGAUACCAAACCUGUGUUAAACUCCUUCAACGAGUCGAGUAGUUUGGGAAUGCUGCUCUAAAUGGGAGGUAAAUCUCUUCUAAAGCUAAAUACCGGCCAGAGACCGAUAGCGCACAAGUAGAGUGAUCGAAAGAUGAAAAGCACCUUGAAAAGGGGGUUAAACAGUACGUGAAAUUGUUAAAAGGGAAGCGUUUAUGACCAGACUUGUGUCGUGUGGCUCAUCCGAGGUUCUCCCCGGUGCACUCCACACGGCUCAGGCCAACAUCGGUUCUCGUUGGGGGAUAAGAACAGUAGGAACGUGGCCCUUUUCGAAGGGUGUUAUAGCCUGCUGUACGAUACCCUGAUGGGGACCGAGGACCGCGCUUCGGCUAGGAUGUUGGCGUAAUGGUCAUUAGCGACCCGUCUUGAAACACGGACCAAGGAGUCGUCCAUUAGAGCGAGCGUUUGGGUGUAAAACCCGCACGCGUAAUGAAAGUGAAAUUAGGUGAGAGCUUCGGCGCAUCAUCGACCGAUCCUGAAGUUUACGGAUGGAUUUGAGUAAGAGUUUUAACGGACGGACCCGAAAGACAGUGAACUAUGCUUGAAUAGGGUGAAGCCAGAGGAAACUCUGGUGGAGGCUCGCAGCGGUUCUGACGUGCAAAUCGAUCGUCAAAUUUGAGCAUGGGGGCGAAAGACUAAUCGAACUGUCUAGUAGCUGGUUACCGCCGA
rnacentral:rRNA from 1 species